rnacentral:tRNA from 4 species
AAGGAAUGUAUUGCAACAAAAAGAAC